rnacentral:rRNA from 1 species
UAGGGAAUCUUCGGCAAUGGACGAAAGUCUGACCGAGCAACGCCGCGUGAGUGAAGAAGGUUUUCGGAUCGUAAAACUCUGUUGGUAGAGAAGAACGUUGGUGAGAGUGGAAAGCUCAUCAAGUGACGGUAACUACCCAGAGAGGGACGGCUAACUACGUGCCAG